AUCAACAAACAGGAAACUAAAAAAGAGGAACGUAGUGUAAGUUCUAACAGUUGAUAUCCGUGAGAAGAGGCUCUGCUCAAUAGCUGGAUACACAGACAAUGAAAUCCUCGACAGGGCAGGUCCCAGAAGGAAGCCUUUCGGAUGAUGAUUUCUGCCUCUUGUACUCUUCCCUGAGAGAUCAGCCACCGGGGAGAUUCUGGAACAACCCUGCAACAAGUUUCAGAAUAUCAUCAUCUGCAUUUCCACACUGACCACUGCUGCAAAAACACACAUACACA